CAAGUCGAACGAGAAAGUGGAGCAAUCCAUGAGUACAGUGGCGUACGGGUGAGUAACACGUGGGUGAUCUACCUCUUUGUGAGGAAUAACCCUGGGAAACCGGGGCUAAUACCGCAUGAUCCCGAGAGGGGAAAGUCGAAAGACGCUGAGAGAGGAGCCCGCGGCCGAUUAGCUAGUUGGUGGGGUAAGAGCCCACCAAGGCAUAGAUCGGUAGCCGGCCUGAGAGGGCACACGGCCACACUGGCACUGAAACACGGGCCAGACUCCUACGGGAGGCAGCAGUGGGGAAUCUUGCACAAUGGGGGAAACCCUGAUGCAGCGACGCCGCGUGAGCGAUGAAGCCCUUCGGGGUGUAAAGCUCUUUCGGCAGGGAAGAUUAUGACGGUACCUGCGGAAGCAGCUGCGGCUAACUACGUGCCAGCAGCCGCGGUAAUACGUAGGCAGCGAGCGUUGUUCGGAGUUACUGGGCGUAAAGGGUGUGUAGGCGGUUGUUUAAGUUUGGUGUGAAAUCUCCCGGCUCAACUGGGAGGGUGCGCCGAAUACUGAAUGACUAGAGUGCGGGAGAGGAAAGUGGAAUUCCUGAUGUAGCGGUGAAAUGCGUAGAUAUCAGGAGGAACACCGGUGGUGUAGACGGCUUUCUGGACCGUAACUGACGCUGAGACACGAAAGCGUGGGUAGCAAACAGGAUUAGAUACCCUGGUAGUCCACGCCCUAAACGAUGCAUAUUUGGUGUGGGUCAUUCAGUUGAUCCGUGCCGGAGCUAACGCGUUAAAUAUGCCGCCUGGGGAGUACAGUCGCAAGGCUGAAACUCAAAGGAAUUGACGGGGGCCC
rnacentral:rRNA from 1 species